rnacentral:rRNA from 1 species
UACGGAGGGUGCAAGCGUUACUCGGAAUCACUGGGCGUAAAGAGUGCGCAGGCGGGGUAGCAAGUCAGAUGUGAAAGGCUAUGGCUUAACCAUAGAACUGCAUUUGAAACUGUUACUCUUGAGUAUGGGAGAGGUAGGUGGAAUUCUUGGUGUAGGGGUAAAAUCCGUAGAGAUCAAGAGGAAUACUCAUUGCGAAGGCGACCUACUGGAACAUUACUGACGCUCAUGCACGAAAGCGUGGGGAGCAAACA